rnacentral:tRNA from 1 species
GGGGCUUAGCUCAGUUGGUAGAGCAUCUGCUUUGCACGCAGAGGGUCAGGAGUUCGAAUCCCCUAGCCUCC